AUUGAACGCUGGCGGCAUGCCUUACACAUGCAAGUCGAACGGCAGCACGGGUGCUUGCACCUGGUGGCGAGUGGCGAACGGGUGAGUAAUACAUCGGAACGUACCUUAUCGUGGGGGAUAACGCAGCGAAAGCUGUGCUAAUACCGCAUACGCCCUGAGGGGGAAAGCGGGGGAUCGAAAGACCUCGCGCGAUUAGAGCGGCCGAUGCCUGAUUAGCUUGUUGGUGGGGUAAAAGCCCACCAAGGCGACGAUCAGUAGCUGGUCUGAGAGGACGCUCAGCCACGCUGGGACUGAGACACGGCCCAGACUCCGACGGGAGGCAGCAGUGGGGAAUUUUGGACAAUGGGGGCAACCCUGAUCCAGCAAUGCCGCGUGAGUGAAGAAGGCCUUCGGGUUGUAAAGCUCUUUUGUCAGGGAAGAAACACCGGCUCUAACACAGUCCGGGAAUGACGGUACCUGAAGAAUAAGCACCGGCUAACUACGUGCCAGCAGCCGCCGUAA
rnacentral:rRNA from 1 species